GGGGGAUAUUGCACAAUGGGGGAAACCCUGAUGCAGCGACGCCGCGUGAGGGAAGACGGUCCUCUGGAUUGUAAACCUCUGUCUUCGGGGACGAAACGAGACGGUACCCGAGGAGGAAGCCACGGCUAACCACGUGCCAGCAGCCGCGGUAAUACGUAGGUGGCAAGCGUUGUCCGGAAUUACUGGGUGUAAAGGGAGCGUAGGCGGGCAGGCAAGUCAGGCGUGAAAUAUAUCGGCUCAACCGGUAACGGCGCUUGAAACUGCAGGUCUUGAGUGAAGUAGAGGUUGGCGGAAUUCCUAGUGUAGCGGUGAAAUGCGUAGAUAUUAGGAGGAACACCAGUGGCGAAGGCGGCCAACUGGGCUUUUACUGACGCUGAGGCUCGAAAGUGUGGGGAGCAAACAGGAUUAGAUACCCUGGUAGUCCACACCGUAAACGAUGAUUACUAGGUGUGGGGGGACUGACCCCUUCCGUGCCGGAGUUAACACAAUAAGUAAUCCACCUGGGGAGUACGGCCGCAAGGUUGAAACUCAAAGGAAUUGACGGGGGCCCGCACAAGCAGUGGAGUAUGUGGUUUAAUUCGACGCAACGCGAAGAACCUUACCAGGUCUUGACAUCGUAUGCAUAGUGUAGAGAUACAUGAAGUCCUUCGGGACAUACAGACAGGUGGUGCAUGGUUGUCGUCAGCUCGUGUCGUGAGAUGUUGGGUUAAGUCCCGCAACGAGCGCAACCCUUGUAUUUAGUUGCUACGCAAGAGCACUCUAGAUAGACUGCCGUGGACAACACGGAGGAAGGUGGGGAUGACGUCAAAUCAUCAUGCCCCUUAUGACCUGGGCUACACACGUACUACAAUGGCAAUGGAACAGAGGGAAGCGACUCAGCGAUGAGAAGCAGAUCCCGAAAAAUUGUCUCAGUUCGGAUUGCAGGCUGCAACCCGCCUGCAUGAAGUCGGAAUUGCUAGUAAUCGCGGAUCAGCAUGCCGCGGUGAAUACGUUCCCG
rnacentral:rRNA from 1 species